GGAAGUAAAAGUCGUAACAAGGUCUCCGUUGGUGAACCAGCGGAGGGAUCAUUACCGAGUUUACAACUCCCAAACCCCUGUGAACAUACCUAUAAUUUGCCUCGGCAGACUCAACGACGGUGCUCCGAGAAAUCGGGCGCCGCUCGCUACCAGAGGAACCCCAAACUCUAUGUAUUCUUAUGGAUCUUCUGAGUAAAACAAAACAAAUAAAUCAAAACUUUCAACAACGGAUCUCUUGGUUCUGGCAUCGAUGAAGAACGCAGCGAAAUGCGAUAAGUAAUGUGAAUUGCAGAAUUCAGUGAAUCAUCGAAUCUUUGAACGCACAUUGCGCCCGCCAGUAUUCUGGCGGGCAUGCCUGUUCGAGCGUCAUUUCAACCCUCAAGCCCUAGGGCUUGGUGUUGGGGAUCGGCGAUAGUCGCCGUCCCCCAAAUCUAGUGGCGGUCUCGCUGUAGCCUCCAUUGCGUAGUAGCUAACACCUCGCAACUGGAACGCGGCGCGGCCAAGCCGUUAAACCCCCCAACUUCUGAAUGUUGACCUCGGAUCAGGUAGGAAUACCCGCUGAACUUAAGCAUAUCAAUAAGCGGAGGA
rnacentral:rRNA from 1 species